rnacentral:rRNA from 1 species
UACGAAGGGGGCAAGCGUUGUUCGGAAUUACUGGGCGUAAAGGGCGCGUAGGCGGCCGAUCAAGUCAGGCGUGAAAUUCCCGGGCUCAACCUGGGGGGCUGCGCUUGAUACUGAUUGGCUUGAAUGCGGGAGAGGAUAGUGGAAUUCCCAGUGUAGAGGUGAAAUUCGUAGAUAUGGGGGAGGAACACCGGUAGCGAAGGCGGCCACCUGGACGGAUACUGACGCUGAGACGCGAAAAGCGUGGGUAGCAAACAGGG